UUGACAGCCCUGGAUACUGCAGGCCUCUGUUUACCUGCAGAGCAGCUACAACACAAGCUGUGGCAGGGCAACCUUCCCACACUGCCCCCAGCCAAUGGGCCUUAGCUCCGACCAGGGUCUCUCUGUGGAGACUGCCAAGGAGCAUGAACGUUAGCGCUGGUUCCUGUGAUGUGGACGUCUGGCACCUCACAGCAUUACUCGG
rnacentral:sRNA from 1 species